UACGUAGGGGGCAAGCGUUGUCCGGAAUUAUUGGGCGUAAAGCGCGCGCAGGCGGUCAUGUAAGUCUGGUGUUUAAUCCCGGGGCUCAACCCCGGAUCGCACUGGAAACCGCGUGACUUGAGUGCAGAAGAGGAGAGUGGAAUUCCACGUGUAGCGGUGAAAUGCGUAGAGAUGUGGAGGAACACCAGUGGCGAAGGCGACUCUCUGGGCUGUAACUGACGCUGAGGCGCGAAAGCGUGGGGAGCAAACAGG
rnacentral:rRNA from 1 species